CUGCAGAAUGAGGGGAAGACCGAAGAGGAGUAGCAAAUCGAAUCGAAUCUGGCUCUACUCUACUCUACUCUACUCUACUCUACUCUACAGGUUGGUUCUCUUCUCCCCUUCUUCCUCGCUCGCUCGCUCGCGCCGCCGCGCCGUCCUGCUCUGCGUCGACGCCGGUCCGGCGGGCGCCCGGACACCCCGCCGCGUCGUCCCGGAUCUGCGCCACCACCCACCCUGGCGUGGAUGCGGACGGGGAGCGAGAGUAAGAGCGGGGGGCCAGUAGCAGCUGUUAACAUCCCCGCGCGCGCCGCCGCCGCCGCCGCCGCCGUGCUCUGCCUGCCCCUGUCUGGGAGAUGGGGAGGCUGCAAGCCCGGCCGCCGAGAGAGACGAGGGAAGGCGGCCCGCUCCUGUUAGGUGCUGCGUGAGCUUCUUUCUUCAUCACAGCCAAAAAUGAUUGAGGCAUCGGCCUAUUUUGUGUUUGGGGAGAGACAUACAGACAGAGGUUUGAUGUCUAUAUGGAAUCAAUUUGAUAAAAAUGUAGGUGUGUGACAUCUGCUAAAUGGGUUUGACUGCACAUAGAAAUAAAAGGGGGCGGUCUGUGGAUGCUGGUGCUCGAAUGAGUACCCAGUGAGUGAGAUUUGGUGACUUGGUUGGAGUUGCUCUCAGCAAGCAACCAUCAUUUGGAAAAUUAAACAUCAACUACCAUGGCAGAGGCUGUUGUUGGGCAGCUGGUGGUCUCCCUCGGUGCGGCGCUGGCGAAAGAGACAGCUAUCUUUGGCGGGGCACUGCUCAGCAAGGAAGCCGCCGCCAUCAGGGGCCUCUUCGGCAAGAUCCGCGACUCCAAGGCGGAGCUGGAGAGCAUGCAGGCCUACCUGCAGGAGGCGGAGCGGUUCAAGGACACUGACAAGACCACAGCCAUCUUCGUCGGCGAGGUCAGGGGCCUAGCCUUCCAGAUCGAGGAUGUCAUUGACGAGUUCACCUACAAGCUGGAGGACUGCAGGCAUGGAGGGUUUGCGGGCAAGAUGAAGAAGAGGCUCAAGCAUAUCAAGACCUGGCGCCGCCUAGCAGCCAAGCUCCAAGAAAUCGAUGUCAAGCUAAAAGAUGCCAAGAGGAGGAAGCAGGAUUACGCAGUCGUUGCAGGAACCGGCGGAUCUGCUUUUGCUGCCAGAUCGACAAGCCGAGGUCAAGCUCUGCACUUCACCAGGGAUGAGGACCUUGUGGGAAUCGAGGAGAACAAAGAGAAGUUGAUACGGUGGCUGACCGUCAGCGGUGGUAGUGGUCAUGGUCUGGAGCAGAACAACUGCAAAGUCACCACGGUGUGGGGGAUGCCUGGUGUUGGUAAAACCACUCUGGUUGCUCAUGUGUACAACACUGUAAAAGUGGAUUUCGACGCGGCGGCGUGGGUAACUGUGUCGGAGAGUUACCAUAUUGAGGAUCUGCUGAAGAAGAUUGCCGCCCAGUUCGGCAUCACAGUCGACGUCGCCGACAUUGAGAUGAGAGACCUAGCAGAGUCCAUCCAUGAUUACCUUCAAGGUAAAAAGUUCAUUAUGGUCUUGGAUGAUGUUUGGGCUGCACGCGUGUGGUUGGAGAUAAGGAAUGUCUUCCCAACGUCUAACUUUACCAGCCGAUUUGUUAUCACAUCAAGAAAGCAUGAGGUGUCACUGUUGGCAACUAGGGAGUCUGCAAUUCACUUGGAACCGCUACAAGAACAUCACUCCUGGCUGUUAUUUUGUAAUGGAGCCUUUUGGAAUACUGAUGACAAAGAGUGCCCGGUGGAGCUGCAGGAAUUGGCUCGUAAGUUCAUAACAAAGUGUCAAGGCUUGCCUAUUGCUAUUGCUUGCAUUGGCCGCCUACUCUCCUUGAAACCCCCAACUUCUGCUGAAUGGGAGGAUGUGUACAGUGGUUUGGAUUCACAAUUGGCGAAAGAUGUGAUCCCCGAUGCUCAUAUGAUCCUAAAGUUCAGCUUGGAGGACCUUCCAUAUGAUUUGAAGAAUUGUUUCCUACACUGUGCAUUGUCUCCAGAAGAUUAUGUAUUAAAGAGGAGGAAGACAAUGAGGCUCUGGAUCGCUGCGGGGUUUAUCAGGGAAAAAGAUGAGAGCAAAACAUUGGAGGAAGUGGCGGAGGGAUACUUGGCUGAGCUUGUGAACCGAAGCCUUUUACAGGUAGUAGAAAGGAAUUAUGCCGGACGACUGAAAUACUGCAGGAUGCAUGAUGUCAUACGCCUUCUUGCCCUCAACAAAGCCAAGGAGGAAUGCUUCGGUAAAAUUUAUAAUGGCUCUGCUACUAGAGCAUUCUCUGUAGAGGGUGCACGUCGCGUAUCGGUCCAUGGGGGAAAUCUUGAACAACUGAGCCGAUCUGGCACAACACAUCUCCGUGCACUCUAUGUAUUUGAGAGGUAUAUCGAGGUCGAUUUGCUGAAGACUAUCCUAACAUCUUCGAAACUGCUGACGAUGUUGGAUCUUCAAGGUACCUGUAUCAAAAUGCUGCCCAGUGAGGUAUUCAACUUGUUUAAUCUGCGUUAUUUGGGUCUUAGAGAUACUGGGAUGGAAAGCCUGCCUGAAGCAGUAGGGAGGUUGCAAAACCUGGAAGUCUUGGAUGCUUCCAAAUCUAAGUUGACGUAUUUGCCAAACAGUGUUGUAAAACUUAAGAAGCUGAGAUACCUGUAUGCGUGGUCUGUGGUUGCAUCUGAGGAAUUUGAAAUUGGAAAUCUAGGUGGAGUCAAGGUGCCUAAUGGCAUACAACAGUUGGCAGGACUGCAGGCUCUUCAGUCUGUCCAAGCCACUCCAGAGUUUCUGCUUGAAGUUGCAGCUCUGACAGAGCUAAGAACAUUCGGUGUCUGCAACGUGAGAAGUGAAAACUCUGCUUGCUUGAGUAACACUAUCACCAAAAUGAGCCAUCUUGUUCAUCUCGAAAUUGUUGCUGCAACUGAGAAUGAGCUGCUGCAGUUUGAAGGUCUAUAUUUACCUCCAACCCUUUCUUCGCUUGGUUUAGCAGGGCAGCUAGAAAAAACAUCGAUACCUCAGCUUUUCUCUUCUUGGUCACACCUUGAUAGCCUUACUCGAUUGCACCUGGCAUUCUCCAAUAUUGAUGAGCAAACCUUUUCCUGUCUGCGUAUGUUACGUGGUCUACACUUUCUUGAGGUAAUGAAGGCUUUUGAAGGGACGAGGUUGGAAUUUUGCGCAGGGUCAUUUCCAAAACUUCGAUUUCUACAUAUAUGGGGCGCAGCACAACUCAACCAAGUUAGAAUAGAAGAGAGUGCGCUAAAAAUCCUUGCUGAGGUAUGGUUCACAGACUGUCCUGAGCUAAAGUUUCUUCCAGAUGGCAUUGAACACCUUGCAGCCCUUGAGAAAUUAAUUCUGAAAGACACGUCAGAAGAGCUGAUAAAGAAGCUCGGGCAGAUGAGAGAUUCAGAUGAAUACGGUGAAGAUGUAAUGAAGAUUAGCCACAUAAGGAAUGUUACAGUUGCACUGAGCCAUAAAGGAUUUGAGGAAAGAAUUAGGUGAUUGUCACAAUUCCCAAGAUUCUAUGCUGCAAUAUCAAGCACAUUUUGCUCCUCCCAUAUUGGUGCACAUUUUGCGUAUUAAGGCUCUGAUGGGGUGAGAAGAAUUCAAGCUGGGCAGGCCACGAGGUGUUGCGCUUGUUGCUCAAUGAAAUCCUGGGCCAUUCCUUAUUACAAGUAUUACUCCAUAUCAAUGACGCCACAUGACAGAUGGACGCAAAGGUUUCUUAGCUGCAAGGAAGAACAAUGACCAUCCGUUCUUGCUCUGCAACGUUGUCGGUGUGAUGUUCUUCUACAUUAGGCUGCGUGAGAUGAGUAUUCCACUCAACGUGACAUCGAUUUAUCAAGAAGAUACCACUUAAACAUCUUCAACUCUACCAGCUCCCCACGGUGAGGCCACCUUCCCUGCCCGGUUUCUCAAAUGCAUUUGUGGAGAAAAAGGUUCAGUCCCAGUCAUCCAACAUUGCCUUUGAACCAAAGGUGCACAUCUUGACAUUGUUUCAGUUUUAUUAGAAAAGGAAUUGUCAUCUAAGUACCAACUCUGUAGUCGGCACCAUUACCUACUAAACAGUUUUAUUAGAAAAUAAAUUAGUUUAGUUACUUUCUUCUCUCUCUGACUGAAGUUCGCUGGUCUAUAAAGUUUAGUUACUUCACUGCUGGACUCCUAUGUAUUAACAUCAGAAGGAUCACAGUGUAGUGAAGUAUGUGAUGAAUUACUGCUGUCAGUUUUUAUUCGUCUCUAAUGGAUUAGUAUUUUUUCUUUUCUUUUAAGCCUCUCCAGCUCCUCGUCCCCCCUCCCUGUGGCGGCUCAUAUAGUGAUGGCCCCACCCCCACAUAUGAAAGAGGAUAGUCAAUUUUUGUUUGCAAGAUUGUAGUGUUGCUGCCGAAUUUUUUAAAAAAGAUUGGUAUUAUUAUUUUGGCAUAUGAGACUGACAUAGUGACAUGUUCAUUUUACUGGCCAACCUAGAAAUUUACAAUCAAAAGUACCAGCCCUAUUAGCAUCAUUAAUCCUUUAGUAUUGAAAUAUGGGAAACUUCAGAAAAAUCACUUAAUUUUUCUCUCGUCUAAAGAUUCUCAUCCUGAUCUCAUCUUUCUCCUUAGAUCCCUACGCCUUGAGCCAUCUCCAUAAGGUGCUCAUCCCCAUCAGGUUUGUAACGCUAUUUGCAAAAUUCUGGAAUUCAAUGUUCCAUAGAUUGAUAUAGUAUUAGUUACAUCACAGAUAAUUUCCUUGUUUAAAACAUAGUUCACAAAUAUAAUUUUGGGCUACCAGAUGAGGUGACAGGUACUCCGCAGAUGAAAAUUUAUGCGGUACAAACAUAGUUCACAAAUUUAUGCAGAUAAACAUAGUUCACAAACAUAGUUCACUCUUAUGUGCUCAUUAAGAAACGUCUGUCCUUAUCGCCAUUUAAGCUCGGAAUAAAUUUUCUCCACGGCGCAAGGACGUAUACAUGACUAACUUGAUGGACGAGCUGCCAUUUGGACCUAGUACCUGUUGCUGAUCUUAUUGGCUGCCUUGCCAGUUGCCGCCCAAUUGUAAAUGGUGCUGCUAGAAGUGCCAUUUUUUCUGCACUUUUCAGAGACUCGCCUCGGAGCUGCAACGCAGGCGCAUCAGAUACCAGGUAAUUUAAUGAACGAGUCGCCAUUUGGCGCCCAUGGAUGGUUGCGGUUCGUAUGGAUGCUGGUGGAACGUACACUUCCCUCUUGAUUUGGGCGGGGGUUGCUAUUAUGCAGGUGCAGUUGUUUUUCUGCGUGAUGAGAAUUUUUAACAUCAACAUUCCUGAAGAAGAGUGGGACACAACACACAUUUGCAUUGAUCUUGCUGAGCCGUAUUUAUUCAGGAGAGAACCUCAGGUGCCGAGCACCACUACUGUUUCUAACUGCACCACUACACGCCGUAAGUGGGUGAUCAUGGGAACAUGGGCGCUGCGUUCUUUGAUUAGGCACAGAGGCACACAGCACAAACUAUUUACCUUCUCUGGAAGUCAUGUAGAAAAUGAAAUAAAUCUUCUUAAGGUAUUGGACCAAGUAAUCCUACUACUAAUGUGAUUUGCCUGCUCUGCAGCCCGGCCAUGGUGGUUCUGUCCUGCUUGAAGAGGAUGAGGAUGAAGAGCUCCACCCUUGUCGAUGCCGAGAGAGAGAGAGAGAAACUUGUGGGGGAGGAAGAUGAGGAUAGGAGGGGCAGCGAGGAUGAAAGGAAAGCAUCUCCAAAUCCUCCCGAGGUUCGGCGAUUCGUUUCGUUUCUCAACUGUUCCUACUGAAUCCUUGCUAGGUUCUUUGAUACGGCUGUGGCCGUGUGCUUCCAGGAGUUAACAGUUAGUACUAGAUGUGUCGAUUGGUGCUGUAUAUCUUGGGAGGGAUUUGGAAAACAGAAGAGUUUGGAAGUGUUUUUUGAUGACUUUGGUUUAGGAUCUUUUUUGGAGUUCAAACCAAGAUAAUUUUACCUGUGCCCCUCUUGCUAGUAUGACUGUCAUAUACUCCUACAUAAUAUGAAUCUUGGAUUUACCAAGAUGCAUUCCAAAAGUUUGAGGUAGACAGCAAGUCAGCAACUACAAAAUUUGGAAGCGGGGACAAGAAACGGGUCUUGUGUGAGUCAUCCUAUAAUUUGACAACAUUGGAAUUCUCGUCCAACAAUAUGUCCAUUUGGAUGUUCUGAAGAAAAUAA